GAGGAGGAAGAGGAGAAGGAAGAGGAAGAGGAGGAGGAAAGAGUUCUGCUUCUAAAAACACUUGGGUUCUUGCAAUCAAAUGCUUUCAACUUCAAGUUUUUUGUUAUGUUGAAAAAUCACAUUUAUUUUAGGGGGAUCAGAUAAAUAAUGUUUAUUAUAAUCAUCAUAAUCUUUUUCGUUCAUACAGACACUGCACAUCAUCACUUGGCAAAACCUUCCUGAAGGUUUGGAUGGAGACACAUCUUCAAUAUGUCAGCAAGAAUGCAGGCUCCAUGAAGGCAUUCCUACGUCUGCUUUUUUUCUUUUCUCUGCUUUAUUCUUGAUGAUAUGCAUGCACUAGAAAUACAAUGAGAGAUGCAUUGAAUAAAAUGAAUGCCUAUAUAAUGCAAGUAAAUAAUUUA